ensembl:lncRNA
AUGGAAUAUUACCGUGAUUUAUAUCAAAAUGCCUCUGGAUCUGUAAAGAAGCGCUUCAUGCAUCCAGCAGCAGCAGCAUCACGGGCAAGGCCGAGGAGCAUCCCCGCCCGGCGGCGGCCACUGAUGCUCCAGCGCGGAUGCUCGGCCUUGUCCGUGAUGCUGCUCGCUGAUGGAGGAAGAAUAAACAACACGAAGCACGCAGUACCUGGCAGACGCUCCGCCAGACGGUGGGAUCGGUUCCACGCCAGCCCGAGAGAAAUGAAGGUGAAGAUGUUAGCCGUGUUGGCUCUGGUUCUUCUGGUGUCCAGUGCGAGUGAGGGACGAAUUCUCAGUAAAUGUGAGCUGAAGUCCCAACUCCAGGCUGCUCUGGGAGGAAAUCAGGGAGGAAAUGUGACUGGAGCUGUCACUAAUGGGCCUGGAAAUGUGACUACAAGUGUGCCUGUAGAUGCGACUGCAGUUGUGCCUGAAAAUGUGACUUCAAGUGUGCCUGGGAAUGUAACUGUGCCUGGAAAUGCAACUGCAAAUUUGACCCUCAUCGCCCAAAUCGUUUGUACUGUGGAGCGUGUGUCGAAGUUCAACACUGGCCUGGUCACCACCAUCCGAGAGGACUCCAGACCUCCAGUGAGACCCCCAGUGAGACCCCCUCUCAGACCACCACAACAACCCAAUGUAAGACCAGGGGGAAGACCCGGUCGUCCCGGUGGAAGACCAAGGGGAAAGAGAUCCCACGUUGCAGCACAACUCGGGCGCCCAGCUAGACUGUCUGAUGACAGUUCCGAGAGUUCCGAGAGUUCCGAGGAGAAUUCCAGAGAAAGACCUGGUCUGACCACAAAACUGUUAGGAAUCUUCCAGCUGAGCGACCGCGUGGCCUGUGAUUCCGGAUCUGGCCAGAGUUUGAACAUCUGCCGCAUGAAAUGCAGCGCUCUGAUUGAUGAUGACAUCAGGGAUGACAUCGCAUGCCUUAAGACCCUGCUGGACAUCGCAAGCAUUGUUUCAUCCUUCGCUUCUCUGCCCCAGAAUAAGCCACGCUUUAUUCUUUCUUUGAAUGAGUGCCGCAACGUCAAUCCUGCGCAGUACUUCGCUGAGUGUCGCUGAAACAUUCAGCAUUUCUUCAGCGUACCUGGAAAAUGUUCUCAGUUAUGAUAGCCACAGUUAUGAAGCAUGUAUCUCAUACAUGCAUACGUCAGAAUGCAAAUAAAAAAUAUAUAUAAAAAAUACA